CAUGAUCUCGAUCUGUGCUAUGGCUAGAAAAGAAACAUGAAAAAAGUUGUACUAAAAGCGUACUUCCUUCCUUAAUUCGAUCAUACAUAAAUAAUCUUAGUCACUGUGAAGGUCCUCCUGAGUUAAGGAAAGGUUAUCGACGUGGUGAUUUUUUUAUCUGAUUUUUUUUUGGAUCCAGACCUAAAUAGAUUCCAAAACUAUAAAAGUCGUUCGAAUUUCUAGAAUCAUUAAAAAUCUGUGUUCAUUAUGAAAAACGGUAUGGUUUUCCUCCUCGUUUUCGUAGUUAUGAUGGGCAGCUUGUCUCUCAUCGUGGUCGUGGUGGGUGUGCCUCUGCCCGGACUGGAUAAUCAUAACCGAUUUCGUUUCAUACAGCAGGAUGCGCCCGAUUGGAAUGGUGGAAAUAUCAGUCCAAGCUGCACUCAAAGCCCAGAUACCGGACCUUGUAGGGCUUCAUUUCCCCGAUUUUACUGGAAUGGUGCAUCCUGCUCGAGUUUCGUGUGGGGUGGUUGCGCCGGAAAUGGGAACAGGUUUCAAACCAUAGAACAAUGCACUGCUACUUGUGCCUCGGCUGGAUGACGAUGCAUUUUAAAGUAGCUAAAAUAUUCAGUGUACCCUUAAUUUUGGCAUAUUUAUUUACUAGCAAUUAUGUAAAACUUGUAAUUUUGUAUUGAAAGAAAUAAACAGUAUUGUAUUUUGGUAGGAUUUAUAAAUAAAAAUGUUUUUUGCAUUUCUUAAAUCAA